rnacentral:rRNA from 1 species
UACGUAGGGGGCAAGCGUUGUCCGGAUUUAUUGGGCGUAAAGAGCUCGUAGGCGGCUAUUCACGUCGGAUGUGAAAGCUCAAGGCUCAACCUUGAGAGGCCAUUCGAUACGGGAUAGCUAGAGGUAGGUAGGGGAGAUCGGAAUUCCUGGUGUAGCGGUGAAAUGCGCAGAUAUCAGGAGGAACACCGAUGGCGAAAGCAGCUCUCUGGGACGGUACUGACGCUGAGGCGCGAAAGCGUGGGGAGCGAACAGG